rnacentral:rRNA from 1 species
UAGGGAAUCUUCGGCAAUGGGGGAAACCCUGACCGAGCAACGCCGCGUGAGUGAAGAAGGUUUUCGGAUCGUAAAGCUCUGUUGUUAAGGAAGAACGAGUGUGAGAAUGGAAAGUUCAUACUGUGACGGUACUUAACCAGAAAGGGACGGCUAACUACGUGCCAGCAGCCGCGGUAAUACGUAGGUCCCGAGCGUUGUCCGGAUUUAUUGGGCGUAAAGCGAGCGCAGGCGGUUAGAAAAGUCUGAAGUGAAAGGCAGUGGCUCAACCAUUGUAGGCUUUGGAAACUGUUUAACUUGAGUGCAGAAGGGGAGAGUGGAAUUCCAUGUGUAGCGGUGAAAUGCGUAGAUAUAUGGAGGAACACCGGUGGCGAAAGCGGCUCUCUGGUCUGUAACUGACGCUGAGGCUCGAAAGCGUGGGGAGCGAACAGG